AACACCCGCCCACAGAAAAAGAAAGCACCCCCACAGCACUGGCUGUCAGGUUUCCUAAGCCUUCAGGGAUGUGUGCUGAGAGCCACGCACGGUCACGGAGAAUAAGCCUGCACACACCUCUUCCUGGGCAAGGUCUGCCCACUUGAUGCGGUUACAGUAACACAGACACCACACGCUGCCCUUCAAUGCGAGAAGAACAAAAGCAGCCCCGUGUUCUUGCUUCCCCAUGGUGAACGCUAUGUGCACACAAACCCAGCUCUUCUGCUACUCUCUUUUUUUGGGAUGAAGCCAUAUGAAGCUGAAAAUGAGGCUUCUAUCUUAGAGUCCCCAUUAAAUGCUUUCAAGCUAAGACCUGCUGGUGGCGGCAAUUCGCGUCCUAGAUGGAGUCCUAAAGAGCACUCAUGGUGCCUGAUCUGAUUGAAGCCCCAUUAUGCCUCUGAGAAGGGAGUGCUGUCUCAUCCCUGCAGCAGGCAGAUGUCGGAAGCACAUUUGCUUUGGAAGAUGACACUAAUUUGCUCAAAGUGGGAAACGGGCUCCCAAGACUUUCAUCGUAUUAGUCAGUGAAAGCAAGGCCAGGAUUCAGCACUGUCUCAAAAGCACGAGUUUUUACCAGAAAAAAAAAAAAAUACAAGGGCUGAAUAGCAUACGACAUUCACACCAAACGGCCUCCAAAGGACCUAGUUGCCCUGUUCUUGACAUCAGGACCAGGUAUGGACCAGGAGAGAGGACUGCUGUGACAGGAGAUGGUGACAAGGCUGUUUGAAAAUGCCUGGUGGCUCCUGAGACUCCAGUGUUUGUGAUUUGCCCUCCUCUUCCUUCAUACAGGCAAGCUCGUGCUUCCUUCAGGGUGGAACUUUACAGCUUCCCCUUUCUUCUUGAACACAUAUUUUCAGUUUUUGCAGUUCUUUGUGUACUCUAGUACUCUAUGCUGAUGGCCAUGUCAGAGGAGCAGCAGAUGCUACUGAAGUUCAGUUGUCAGCCCACCAGAGGCAACUCCCUGAUGCCCGAUAGGCAAGGCCCCGAGACCACAGACUCCAGAAUGUCCUUUGCUUCUGCUGUGCCUUCACAUGUUUACUAUUGCCAACUUUCUCUGGUCUCUGGUGUGGUGUGAAUGGGUGUGGGGAGAUCCCUGCUGCCUGUAAUUUAGUGUGUUUAUCUCAUGGAAACAUCCCUUUCUAUUGGGCACUUUACCUGUGGAUUAUCAUAAAGAUAAUUUUUCCCCUAAGCUGUACUGUCUAAUUGAUAAUAAUAAUGUUAGUUUAAAUAGAGUUUUGAUAAUAAAAAAAUAAAACAAGGAAGUGUCACACAGCUAGAACACACGAGUUUCUAUUGAAGAGCAAUAUAGACUGUAGCUUAGAUUAAUGAUUAAGAAAAACAACUGAGUCCCAGUAGCCCAGCUAGUUUAAAUUCUUCUAACCUUAAUGUUGAGAGAUGUGUUCACAGGUUUCGAAGUGCAUCACAGCUGAAACAAAGCUUUGAAAAUAACUUAAAGUUAGACUAAGAUGUUUUUGUCAAAUAGCUUUGAGGUGAAAACCCCAAAAAGAUAAUCUAAAGUUUUAGAAAGACACAUAGUUGAAUGAGGAACUCGGGAUGAAUAAGGCCAGGGAUCAAAUACAAAGCAGCCCAAUUAUUACUAACUGACAUACUUUCCUUGCUAGGAUUGGUUGGUGAUCAAAGAUGAUGAUUAAUUCCUUGUACUCACUUUUGCCUUCAACCUCCUGAUAUAAAAACUAUUGAUGAGUGGGUAUGUACUCUAGAGAUUUAAAGUAGAGCUGACUGAUUCUUUUUCAUGUAUAAAAGUUUAUACUUAUGAUUCCUUUAAGAUUCCUCAUAAAAUUACCUUUCAAGAUAAGCAAUAAUGUGAUUGUUCUUUUCUUUGUAACCACAAAAUGCAGCCUGCCAGUAAAAGAAUAUCUUUCUUGCUUACACAUUGUUAAUCUAUAACAAGUUGCUUGGGUAUGAAUGUACACUGGUUCUUGGGAUAACUUGUUUUUCACCUGUAAUAUGUAAAAUGUUUAAUCAUGUAAGGGAUAUGGAAAACAUGCUGUUUUUUUUUUAUUUGUAUUCAUUGUAAUCACUCCCUUGAAAAACAGAAUGUAACCACAUUGUAAUUUUUAUAUUGCCUGAAAGAUUUUGUUGGGGUAUAUAAGUUGUAAGGGAAAGAACAAAGAUAGAGUUAAAUAGAGUUAGAAGGAAAACAUCAAGAAUGAGAGAAGGAAAUCACCAGGAAAAUAAAGAAUAGAGAAUGCAAAAGAAGAAUAAAGAAAAGGUCUGAAGGAAACCAUCAAGAGAGUGUGUGAGUCUUUCCCUUCACUCCCCCAGAUGAAAAAAAAAAAGUCACAGUGAGCGCUGACUCUGUGGAUUCCCUUGGAGCCCUGCGCUGCUGGAGGCUGGCCCCCCAGGUAGUGAAAAUUCUAGCUAUAAAUGCCAGGUCUGGCAUUCAGAAAUAAACAUUUUCCUACUGUGCAGGCUCCCUCCUCACUCUGGUGACCAUUUUCUUUGCUGUGUAGAAGCUUUUAGUUGCUUUUUAUCCCAUUUGUCAAUUAUUGGAAUUAUAAA